rnacentral:rRNA from 1 species
GAGGGUGAACCUGCGGAGGGAUCAUUACCGAGUUUACAACUCCCAAACCCCUGUGAACAUACCAAUUGUUGCCUCGGCGGAUCAGCCCGCUCCCGGUAAAACGGGACGGCCCGCCAGAGGACCCCUAAACUCUGUUUCUAUAUGUAACUUCUGAGUAAAACCAUAAAUAAAUCAAAACUUUCAACAACGGAUCUCUUGGUUCUGGCAUCGAUGAAGAACGCAGCAAAAUGCGAUAAGUAAUGUGAAUUGCAGAAUUCAGUGAAUCAUCGAAUCUUUGAACGCACAUUGCGCCCGCCAGUAUUCUGGCGGGCAUGCCUGUUCGAGCGUCAUUUCAACCCUCAAGCCCAGCUUGGUGUUGGGACUCGCGAGUCAAAUCGCGUUCCCCAAAUUGAUUGGCGGUCACGUCGAGCUUCCAUAGCGUAGUAGUAAAACCCUCGUUACUGGUAAUCGUCGCGGCCACGCCGUUAAACCCCAACUUCUGAAUGUUGACCUCG